rnacentral:rRNA from 1 species
AACGAACGCUGGCGGCAGGCCUAACACAUGCAAGUCGAACGAGAAGCCACCUUCGGGUGGUGGACAGUGGCAGACGGGUGAGUAACGCGUGGGAACGUGCCUUUCGGUUCGGGAUAACCCAGGGAAACUUGGGCUAAUACCGGAUACGCCCUCCGGGGGAAAGAUUCAUUGCCGAAAGAUCGGCCCGCGUCGGAUUAGCUAGUUGGUGGGGUAAAAGCCUACCAAGGCGACGAUCCGUAGCUGGUCUGAGAGGAUGACCAGCCACACUGGGACUGAGACACGGCCCAGACUCCUACGGGAGGCAGCAGUGGGGAAUAUUGGACAAUGGGCGCAAGCCUGAUCCAGCCAUGCCGCGUGGGUGAAGAAGGCCCUAGGGUUGUAAACCCCUUUCAGCGGGAAGAUAAUGACGGUACCCGCAGAAGAAGCCCCGGCUAACUCC